rnacentral:tRNA from 2 species
GGAGAGGUGUCAGAGUGGUCUAUCGUGCAUCCUUGGAAAGGAUGUGUACCGAAAGGUACCGGGAGUUCGAAUCUCCCUCUCUCCG